rnacentral:rRNA from 1 species
CGAAACCGAGUGAUCUAGCCAUGGGCAGGUUGAAGGUUGAGUAACAUCAACUGGAGGACCGAACCGACUAAUGUUGAAAAAUUAGCGGAUGACUUGUGGCUAGGGGUGAAAGGCCAAUCAAACUCGGAGAUAGCUGGUUCUCCCCGAAAGCUAUUUAGGUAGCGCCUCGGACGAAUACUACUGGGGGUAGAGCACUGUUAAGGCUAGGGGGUCAUCCCGACUUACCAACCCUUUGCAAACUCCGAAUACCAGUAAGUACUAUCCGGGAGACACACGGCGGGUGCUAACGUCCGUCGUGGAGAGGGAAACAACCCAGACCGCCAGCUAAGGUCCCAAAUUACAGCUAAGUGGGAAACGAUGUGGGAAGGCUUAGACAGCUAGGAUGUUGGCUUAGAAGCAGCCAUCAUUUAAAGAAAGCGUAAUAGCUCACUAGUCGAGUCGGCCUGCGCGGAAGAUGUAACGGGGCUAAGUUGUAAACCGAAGCUGCGGCAAUGUUCUUUGAACAUUGGGUAGGGGAGCGUUCUGUAAGCCGUUGAAGGUGUGUUGUAAAGCAUGCUGGAGGUAUCAGAAGUGCGAAUGCUGACAUGAGUAACGACAAGGGGGGUGAAAAACCUCCCCGCCGGAAGACCAAGGGUUCCUGUCCAACGUUAAUCGGGGCAGGGUAAGUCGACCCCUAAGGCGAGGCUGAAAAGCGUAGUCGAUGGGAAACGGGUUAAUAUUCCCGUACUUCUUACAAUUGCGAUGGGGGGACGGAGAAGGCUAGGUGGGCCUGGCGACGGUUGUCCAGGUUCAAGUGCGUAGGCUGAGUGUUUAGGUAAAUCCGGAUACUCUUAAGGCUGAGACACGACGUCGAGCUACUACGGUAGUGAAGUCAUUGAUGCCAUGCUUCCAGGAAAAGCCUCUAAGCUUCAGAUUGUAAGGAAUCGUACCCCAAACCGACACAGGUGGUCGGGUAGAGAAUACCAAGGCGCUUGAGAGAACUCGGGUGAAGGAACUAGGCAAAAUGGUACCGUAACUUCGGGAGAAGGUACGCUCUUGAUGGUGAAGUCCCUUGCGGAUGGAGCUGACGAGAGUCGCAGAUACCAGGUGGCUGCAACUGUUUAUUAAAAACACAGCACUGUGCAAAAUCGUAAGAUGACGUAUACGGUGUGACGCCUGCCCGGUGCCGGAAGGUUAAUUGAUGGGGUUAGCGUAAGCGAAGCUCUUGAUCGAAGCCCCGGUAAACGGCGGCCGUAACUAUAACGGUCCUAAGGUAGCGAAAUUCCUUGUCGGGUAAGUUCCGACCUGCACGAAUGGCGUAAUGAUGGCCACGCUGUCUCCACCCGAGACUCAGUGAAAUUGAAAUCGCUGUGAAGAUGCAGUGUACCCGCGGCUAGACGGAAAGACCCCGUGAACCUUUACUACAGCUUGGCACUGAACAUUGAACCUACAUGUGUAGGAUAGGUGGGAGGCUUUGAAGACGUGACGCCAGUUGCGUUGGAGCCGUCCUUGAAAUACCACCCUUGUAUGUUUGAUGUUCUAACGUUGGCCCCUAAUCGGGGUUGCGGACAGUGCCUGGUGGGUAGUUUGACUGGGGCGGUCUCCUCCCAAAGAGUAACGGAGGAGCACGAAGGUGGGCUAAUCACGGUUGGACAUCGUGAGGUUAGUGCAAUGGCAUAAGCCCGCUUAACUGCGAGAAUGACGGUUCGAGCAGGUGCGAAAGCAGGUCAUAGUGAUCCGGUGGUUCUGAAUGGAAGGGCCAUCGCUCAACGGAUAAAAGGUACUCCGGGGAUAACAGGCUGAUACCGCCCAAGAGUUCAUAUCGACGGCGGUGUUUGGCACCUCGAUGUCGGCUCAUCACAUCCUGGGGCUGAAGUCGGUCCCAAGGGUAUGGCUGUUCGCCAUUUAAAGUGGUACGCGAGCUGGGUUUAGAACGUCGUGAGACAGUUCGGUCCCUAUCUGCCGUGGGCGUUGGAAGAUUGAAGGGGGCUGCUCCUAGUACGAGAGGACCGGAGUGGACGAACCUCUGGUGUUCGGGUUGUGUCGCCAGACGCAUUGCCCGGUAGCUAAGUUCGGAAUCGAUAACCGCUGAAAGCAUCUAAGCGGGAAGCGAGCCCUGAGAUGAGUCUUCCCUGAUACUUUAAGUAUCCUAAAGGGUUGUUCGAGACUAGAACGUUGAUAGGCAGGGUGUGUAAGCGCUGUGAGGCGUUGAGCUAACCUGUACUAAUUGCCCGUGAGGCUUAACCAUACAACACCCAAAGGGUUUUG